ACAGAGGUCCCAAGCGUUGUUCGGAUUUACUGGGCGUAAAGGGUGCGUAGGUGGUCGGAAAAGUCUGAUGUGAAAUCUUCGAGCUUAACUCGGAAAUGGCAUUGGAUACUAUUCGGCUAGAGGGUUGGAGGGGAGACUGGAAUUCUCGGUGUAGCAGUGAAAUGCGUAGAUAUCGAGAGGAACACCAGUGGCGAAGGCGAGUCUCUGGACAACUCCUGACACUGAGGCACGAAAGCUAGGGGAGCAAACAGGAUUAGAUACCCUGGUAGUCCUAGCUGUAAACGGUGCACAUUUGCCGUGAGAGGAAUCGACCCCUUUCGUGGCGAAGCUAACGCGUUAAAUGUGCCGCCUGGGAAGUACGGUCGCAAGAUUA
rnacentral:rRNA from 1 species